rnacentral:rRNA from 1 species
GACGAACGCUGGCGGCGUGCUUAACACAUGCAAGUCGAACGGUGACCCAGGGCUUGCCCUGGUGAUCAGUGGCGAACGGGUGAGUAACACGUGGGCAACCUGCCCCUGACUUCGGGAUAACUCCUCGAAGAGGAGCUAAUACCGGAUACGACCACUUCGGACAUCCGAUGGUGGUGGAAAGUUUUCGGUCAGGGAUGGGCCCGCGGCCUAUCAGCUAGUUGGUGGGGUAAUGGCCUACCAAGGCGACGACGGGUAGCCGGCCUGAGAGGGCGACCGGCCACACUGGGACUGAGACACGGCCCAGACUCCUACGGGAGGCAGCAGUGGGGAAUAUUGCGCAAUGGGCGAAAGCCUGACGCAGCGACGCCGCGUGAGGGAUGAAGGCCUUCGGGUUGUAAACCGUCUUCUAGCAGGGACGAAGCGAAAGUGACGGUACCUGCAGAAGAAGCACCGGCUAACUACGUGCCAGCAGCCGCGGUAA